UGCAUGAACUUGCUCAGGACAAGAGUUAUACAACUUUUUUCCUGGGUACUACUAACUACUAAGCCAUAUGCGUAUGCUGGUGUAGUAUAUAAUCUAUAAUACCUAAAUAAUUCAUCUCCACUACUAUAUUUUUCUUGACAUGCAGCCUAUCCACCUCAGCACACCUGCCACAUCAACAUUCUUUCAUUGACUUACAUAUGGGACCAACCACUACAACGCUCCUGCCACAUAAGCUUCAGUUACUUGCUAAGGACCCACCCCAACGUUGCCUAACGAGUGUUUUUCUCUCUGAUUCAGUGCUUCGGAAAGACAACACUCGAGCGCUCCUCCAUACAGAGAAACUUCCCCCUUUCUGUAGUAGCCCACGGUGGCAGGGAUCCCACCGGUGCUGGAGGAUCCAUCAUUCAAGCGCCCCUUCACACACACAAAAUCCCUUCUCUGCAGUAGCGCACGGCUGCGGGGAUUCAUCUCUGACUGUGACGCUCCUCCGGCACAACUGCUAGUUGGGUUGCAUUUGCGGCUCACACGGAGACGGAGUCCCUCUUGCCCAGCCUAGGGUGGCUGGUCGGACCAAGGUGGGGCCCCUCCCGGCAGCGGUCAAGCCCGCUCUACCGGCGCCGUCGGCUGCCUCCCCUCUGCAUCCGCCUCGGCUGCAGCGGCCGCGCUCGCCUCUGCUGAUGUCGCCGGUGGCCUAUGCUGGUGGGUGGAAUUAGACAGGCCGCUGGGUUUUUUUUAGAAGAAAAGGGCAGCGCCCCUGUUCCAUUUCAUUCAGCCCGCUGGGUUUAACCUGGAAGUAGGCUCUGCCCGAUGACUCGGCCAUGGAAUGUACGCCGCGUACUAUUUUCUUCGGUAUUUGAUAUUCUUGUCAGUAUUUUUUUCGAGGAGGGUCAACUGCACUGCACACAACCCACUACUUCAGGCCCAUCUGCAACCCAGUGCUCCCGCAUGCCCACACUAUUUAUCUUCCCCGGUUGCCCCGGCCGCUCUCCUAAUAAUAUCCGAGACGAGAUGACGCUCCACUUCCUCUCCCCACGAUCUCAACAUGUAACUGAUGGAUUGCUGUUUAAAGUAUGUGCUCCGCCUCACCUUAUAUCCUCACACCACUCCUACUGCAGCCGCCGCGUCCAAGUAGUCAUGUUCGUUGGUUUUCCAUCACUGCACACAGAGAUUUCAGGCAUCUACUGACGCCAUAUAUUUGUUGACCGGGAUGCCUCCAUAAUCCUCCAUACCGCAACCAUGAACUGAAGGCACACCCACCAUCUUGCACUGCUGUACAAGGCAAGCUGCAGCCGCUAUCCCCCUCUAUCUUAUUUCUUCGAUUUCUGUCAUGUGGAACAUCUCUCUGCGAUGACUUCCACUCUUUCUCUGUCUAUCAGAUUUUUUUGCAGGUGUUCACAUCAAUUGGUUUAUCUGAAUGACUUGAUUUCUAUUGAUAUCCCCCGUGAUGGAGGAAUCUGAUCCGCCAAAGAAAUAUAUGGCAUCGCAAUCAACCAUGCCCGCUGCUCAACUCGCCUUCCCCAGCGCCAAUCUCCAAUCUGGUACCGCUGCUGUUGCAAAUAUCGUCUACAAGUUUCUCUCUCGCUCAUUGUUCCAUGUCUUAUCUUAACAAGAAUCAGGUUGUUCCCGUUGAAUUUUAGCUUCUAUGAGCCCUCCAGUGGCACCAUCUGUAAGUAGCCUAUCAAUCUAUUUCUGUUAAAGAUCUUCAUAUAUACACAAGGCAUCUUCUAUUGCUUCUUUCCUGAAAAGGGUUCUUAA